rnacentral:rRNA from 1 species
AACGAACGCUGGCGGCAGGCCUAACACAUGCAAGUCGAGCGAGGACUUCGGUUCUAGCGGCGGACGGGUGAGUAACGCGUGGGAAUGUGCCCUUCUCUACGGAAUAGCCCUGGGAAACUGGGAGUAAUACCGUAUACGCCCUAUUGGGGAAAGAUUUAUCGGAGAAGGAUCAGCCCGCGUUGGAUUAGGUAGUUGGUGGGGUAAUGGCCUACCAAGCCGUCGAUCCAUAGCUGGUUUGAGAGGAUGAUCAGCCACACUGGGACUGAGACACGGCCCAGACUCCUACGGGAGGCAGCAGUGGGGAAUCUUAGACAAUGGGGGCAACCCUGAUCUAGCCAUGCCGCGUGAGUGAUGAAGGCCUUAGGGUUGUAAAGCUCUUUCAGCUGGGAAGAUAAUGACGGUACCAGCAGAAGAAGCCCCGGCUAACUCCGUG